rnacentral:rRNA from 1 species
CAGCCGCCACGGUAAUACGAAGGGUGCAAGCGUUACUCGGAAUUACUGGGCGUAAAGCGUGUGUAGGUGGUUGUUUAAGUCUGUCGUGAAAGCCCUGGGCUCAACCUGGGAAUUGCGAUGGAUACUGGGCGACUAGAGUGCGGUAGAGGAUAGUGGAAUUUCCGGUGUAGCAGUGAAAUGCGUAGAGAUCGGAAGGAACAUCUGUGGCGAAGGCGACUAUCUGGGCCAACACUGACACUGAGACACGAUAGCGUGGGGAGCAAACAGGAUUAGAUACCCCUGUAGUCCCUGUCUCUUAUAC